CUGGACUCAGGUGGAAACAUCCCCAGGUCUCCCAGCUCCCACCCCCAGCCUCUGAGCCGGUGGUAUGGAGGCCGGAAGUUUGGGGAGCCUCUGAGAGCCUGUCUUCUCUGCUCGUCUUCCCCCAGCCUCAGGAGUUCCCCAUUCUCUGGGCCCAGGGAGGGGACCGGGUGUCCAGAGACCUGGUUCUAGUCUCACACUGGCACAGAUGCCUACAUAGCCUGGGCAGUCAGACCACCUUGCGGUGGGCCUUGGCAUCCCCCAUGUGUCCCCAGGUGGGGGCCAAGGGCCUGUGCACCCCUGCCCACAGCUGUAGUCCAGAGUGCUGUGUGACUGUGCCUAGGAGUCUGAGCUCCCGCACUUCCCGUUCUUGGGGCCAGCUAAUACUCCUCGUCCCGGGGUGGGCUGAGGAUUUGGGAGUGAGCAGAAGAGAGGCUUCCGUGUCCCAAAGCUGAGCCCUGGGUGGGUCUCUCAGCCUCCCCUUUAGUUUCAUCUGUCCGCCCUCUCUCAGGACACAGCCCUGGGUGGAGGAGGAAAAACCCAUGUAUCCUAUUCCCACCCCCAUGGAAUGUGCUCCGACUGGGAUGAAGCAACUGGGCCACCCAGGGCAGGUCGCACCUGGGAGGGACGGUGGAAGCACUGGGGUCCAGGUGCCCUGCUGCGGGGAAGGGAAGCAGGGGGCAUUCUAACCCAGGCAGGCUCAGCAGAACCGCUCUCCCCCCCGCAGCACCCCGGAGACCGCUGAGUUCCUGGGUGAGGACCUGCUGCAGGUAGAACAGCGGCUGGAGCCGGCCAAGCGGGCAGCCCACAACGUCCACAAGCGGCUGCAGGCCUGUCUGCAGGGCCAGAGCGGGGCAGACAUGGACAAGCGGGUGAAGAAGCUUCCCCUCAUGGCUCUGUCCACCACGAUGGCCGAGAGCUUCAAGGAGCUGGACCCUGAUUCCAGCAUGGGGUGAGCACAGAUGGGGCCCAGCCCUCACCUGGGGAUACCAAGACGUGAUCUCAGCUGGGAGAGGGUCCAGGUGGUGAGGGCAUCCACAUCAGAAGAAUGACCAGGCUGGGGACAGUGCCCAGGAAGGCCUUGGAGAUGAGCUGUGCCAUCCAGAAUCAGCUGGCCCGCAUCCUGGCCGAGUUUGAGAUAACCCUGGAGAGGGAUGUCCUGCAGCCACUCAGCAGGCUGAGUGAGGAGGAGCUGCCAGCCAUCCUCAAGCACAAGAAAAGCCUCCAGAAGCUCGUGUCCGACUGGAACACACUCAAGAGCAGGCUCAGUCAGGCAACCAAGAAUUCAGGCAGCAGUCAAGGCCUGGGAGGCGGCCCGGGUAGUCACAGCCAUACGACCAUGGCCAACAAGGUGGAGACGCUGAAGGAGGAGGAGGAGGAGCUGAAGAGGAAGGUGGAGCAAUGCAGGGACGAGUACUUGGCUGACCUGUACCACUUUGUUACCAAGGAGGACUCCUAUGCCAACUACUUCAUUCAUCUCCUGGAGAUUCAGGCCGAUUACCAUCGCAGAUCACUGAGCUCGCUGGACACAGCCCUGGCUGAGCUGAGGGAGAACCACAGCCAAGCAGGUGGGGACAUAAAGCAGACCACUCCCCCUCGAUGACAGCCACCCACUUCCCCAGGGUGUAUGGGGUGUCGCUGGCAACCCACCUGCAAGAGCUGGGCCGGGAGAUUGCCCUGCCCAUCGAGGCCUGCGUCAUGAUGCUGCUUUCUGAGGGCAUGAAGGAAGAGGGUCUCUUCCGUCUGGCUGCUGGGGCCUCGGUGCUGAAGCGUCUCAAGCAGACGAUGGCCUCGGACCCCCACAGCCUGGAGGAGUUCUGCUCCGACCCACACGCCGUGGCAGGUGCCCUCAAGUCCUAUCUGCGGGAGCUGCCGGAGCCUCUGAUGACCUUCGACCUCUAUGACGACUGGAUGACGGCAGCCAGCCUGAAGGAGCCAGGGGCCCGGCUGCAGGCCCUCCAAGAGGUGUGCAGCCGCCUGCCCCCUGAGAACCUCAGCAACCUCAGGUACCUGAUGAAGUUCCUGGCACGGCUGGCCGAGGAGCAGGAGGUGAACAAGAUGACACCCAGCAACAUCGCCAUCGUCCUGGGACCCAACCUGCUGUGGCCACCUGAGAAAGAAGGGGACCAGGCCCAGCUGGAUGCGGCCUCCGUGUCUUCCAUCCAGGUGGUGGGCGUCGUCGAGGCGCUGAUCCAGAGCGCAGACACCCUCUUCCCUGGAGACAUCAACUUCAACGUGUCAGGCCUCUUCUCAGCUGUUACCCUCCAGGACACAGUCAGUGACAGGCUGGCCUCUGAGGAACUGCCACCCACUGCCGUGCCCACCCCAGCCAUCACCCCGGCUCCAGCUCCAGCUCCAGUUCCAGCCCCAGCCUUGGCUUCAGCGGCUACCAAGGAAAGGACAGAGUCUGAGGUGCCCCCCAGACCAGCCUCCCCCAAGGUCACCAGGAGCCCCCCGGAGACAGCUGCCCCAGUGGAGGACAUGGCUCGGAGGAGUCCUAGGGGAGCCACUGGAAGGAAGGAGAGGCUUGCCUGCUCCUACGGGACUGACUCUUCUCUUGCCAACAUGUUUUUUGUAAGGCUGGUAAAUAAUUUAUUUUGGACAAAACUG
rnacentral:sRNA from 1 species